rnacentral:rRNA from 1 species
UAGCAUAGAUUGCUGGCGACCGGCGCACGGGUGAGUAACACGUAUCCAACCUCCUUAUAACUCGGGGAUAGCCUUUCGAAAGAAAGAUUAAUACCCGAUAGUAUAAUCAGACCGCAUGGUUUGAUUAUUAAAGAAUUUCGGUUGUCGAUGGGGAUGCGUUCCAUUAGGCAGUUGGCGGGGUAACGGCCCACCAAACCUACGAUGGAUAGGGGUUCUGAGAGGAAGGUCCCCCACAUUGGAACUGAGACACGGUCCAAACUCCUACGGGAGGCAGCAGUGAGGAAUAUUGGUCAAUGGACGAGAGUCUGAACCAGCCAAGUAGCGUGAAGGAUGACUGCCCUAUGGGUUGUAAACUUCUUUUAUACGGGAAUAAAGUGAGCCACGUGUGGCUUUUUGUAUGUACCGUAUGAAUAAGGAUCGGCUAACUCCGUGCCAGCAGCCGCGGUAAUACGGAGGAUCCGAGCGUUAUCCGGAUUUAUUGGGUUUAAAGGGAGCGUAGGCGGGUUGUUAAGUCAGUUGUGAAAGUUUGCGGCUCAACCGUAAAAUUGCAGUUGAUACUGGCGACCUUGAGUGCAACAGAGGUAGGCGGAAUUCGUGGUGUAGCGGUGAAAUGCUUAGAUAUCACGAAGAACUCCGAUUG